GUACUGGGAAGAUCUUAUAACCACCUACCACUAGGACAGAAGUGGCAUUGGAGUGAAUGUCAGGAGCAAAUUGUGCAGAGAUGAAGCGGGGUGAGGUCAGCGAUAGAGGUAUCGGACAGCAAGAUUUAAAGCUGCCGGUUUAGAGGAGGAGGGGGAUGACCUGGAAGCAAUGUUGAGAAGCAAGAAGGAAACCUAUCUCACCUCCAGGCACUAAGAAGCUGAAGGUUGAAAACACAGUUGCCGGAAGUAGUUCUGUCCUGUGGGGUUCGGCAUCAUGCAAGUUCCCCCUGGGCUGUUCUCUGAUACAGGGCACUUGCUCCACACUCUGGGAACCCAGAUUAACCAGUCUGCCCUGUCACAUAGUUGAAGGAGUUGCAUUUAUCUUUCUGGCUCCCAAUUCCUUUAAAAUUACAUUUGUUGCAGAACCUCCACAAGGCUAAAUAAAAUAAAAUUACAUUUGUGACCAUCAGAGAACUGAAGAACUAUUAACUGGCUGUUCUGGUUUUGCUGAGAUCGGGCUGUUGACAGUUCCUGGUUGUCCCACAGCUACCCAUGUCAGUUAUCUCCACUAACAUUUCCAAGAAUCUUUGUAGGACAAUUUCUCCACCUGCAAGGUCUUUCAAGUAAGAACUCUUCUUUCCUUUAAGGCAAUUAGCCCAUUGCCAAAAGGUUUUACUGUCUUAAAGCUGGAACUAUCUGAGAUCUAAUUCCAAGGACUUUUCUACAGCUAAGUGAGAUGCCUCACACCAGUAUUAGGUGAUUCUUCGUGAGGACAGAACAGAGCAUUUUCCUCACCACUUUCUAUACCAGUCUCCCAUUCACGUCCCUAGUAAUGAAACCAGUGUCUUGCUGAGACUCUUCCCGUUGCUGGCUUCGAAGAGGCAAGCUGCCAUAUUGUUAGCUUCCCUAUGGAGAGCACCACAUGGCAAGGAACAGAGGGGGUCUCCAGCCAACAGCCUGCAAAGGACUAAGGCCCUCAGUCCUGUAGCCUGCAAGGAACUGAAUGGUGCCAACAACCACAUGAACUUGGAAGCAGAUCCUUUGUUCCAGCCUCACUUUGUAGAGGACCCAGCUAAGCCAUGCCUGGAAUCCUGACUCAGAGAAUCU
rnacentral:lncRNA from 10 species